UGGAAAGAUGAAUCAAAGAAGGUAAUAAUCCUGUAGUCGAAAAUGUUGUCUCUCUUGAGUGGAUCCUGAGUACGACGGAGCACGUGAAAUUCCGUCGGAAUCUGGGAGGACCAUCUCCUAAGGCUAAAUACUCUCUAGUGACCGAUAGUGAACCAGUACCGUGAGGGAAAGGUGAAAAGCACCCCGGAAGGGGAGUGAAAUAGAACCUGAAACCGUGUGCUUACAAGUAGUCAGAGCCCGUUAAUGGGUGAUGGCGUGCCUUUUGUAGAAUGAACCGGCGAGUUACGAUUUGAUGCAAGGUUAAGCAGUAAAUGUGGAGCCGUAGCGAAAGCGAGUCUGAAUAGGGCGUUUAGUAUUUGGUCGUAGACCCGAAACCAGGUGAUCUACCCUUGGUCAGGUUGAAGUUCAGGUAACACUGAAUGGAGGACCGAACCGACUUACGUUGAAAAGUGAGCGGAUGAACUGAGGGUAGCGGAGAAAUUCCAAUCGAACCUGGAGAUAGCUGGUUCUCUCCGAAAUAGCUUUAGGGCUAGCCUCAAGUGAUGAUUAUUGGAGGUAGAGCACUGUUUGGACGAGGGGCCCCUCUCGGGUUACCGAAUUCAGACAAACUCCGAAUGCCAAUUAAUUUAACUUGGGAGUCAGAACAUGGGUGAUAAGGUCCGUGUUCGAAAGGGAAACAGCCCAGACCACCAGCUAAGGUCCCAAAAUAUAUGUUAAGUGGAAAAGGAUGUGGCGUUGCCCAGACAACUAGGAUGUUGGCUUAGAAGCAGCCAUCAUUUAAAGAGUGCGUAAUAGCUCACUAGUCGAGUGACACUGCGCCGAAAAUGUACCGGGGCUAAACAUAUUACCGAAGCUGUGGAUUGUCCUUUGGACAAUGGUAGGAGAGCGUUCUAAGGGCGUUGAAGCAUGAUCGUAAGGACAUGUGGAGCGCUUAGAAGUGAGAAUGCCGGUGUGAGUAGCGAAAGACGGGUGAGAAUCCCGUCCACCGAUUGACUAAGGUUUCCAGAGGAAGGCUCGUCCGCUCUGGGUUAGUCGGGUCCUAAGCUGAGGCCGACAGGCGUAGGCGAUGGAUAACAGGUUGAUAUUCCUGUACCACCUAUAAUCGUUUUAAUCGAUGGGGGGACGCAGUAGGAUAGGCGAAGCGUGCGAUUGGAUUGCACGUCUAAGCAGUAAGGCUGAGUAUUAG
rnacentral:rRNA from 1 species